rnacentral:rRNA from 1 species
AAGUAAAAUAAAUUGGCUGUGUAGAGUAGAGUUUAUUAGUCUUGAAAAACUAAAUUGCUUGGCGGCUUGUCAACUAAAUAGAGAAGUAUGUUUUUUAAUGGAUAGUGCACUAAAAUCUUACCUUAUAUAGUAUAAACCAUUUGGUACACCGCCGUCGAAAGAAUAAUUUUAUCGAAUUGUUCUUAAGUCUUUUAUAAGAAAUAAGUCAGGUCAAGGCGCCGAUCAUUAUAAGGCUAAAAUGUACUUCAUUAUUAUUAUUAUGUCUGAUAACUUCAUUUAAUGGAACUUGAAAAUUCGAUGUUAAUGUAAAAGAAUCUAUAAGUAAUUUUUGUUCACAAGACUUAAUUGAAUAGAG